rfam:Lutzomyia longipalpis Contig14024, whole genome shotgun sequence.
UUUAUGAUGAUAUUUUGGUCCGUGUUUAUGAAUUUUAAAUGAUUUCAACCCCUCCAUGUCUGACAAUA